rnacentral:rRNA from 1 species
AUGGAUCAUCAACUCUCCUACGGACUUGGCUUGAUCGCAGUGGGAGCGAUUCUAUCCUACUUGGUUCUCUCCCAUGCUGUUGGCGCUAAGGACACUAGAGCCAAGCUUCCUCCAGGUCCAUGGAACCUUCCCGUCGUUGGGAGCCUCCAUCACCUCGUCGGCACGCUGCCGCACCACGCGCUGCUCCGCCUAUCGCGCCGGUACGGCCAGCUGAUGCUGCUCAGGCUCGGAGAGGUGCCCACCGUCAUCGUCUCCACGCCCGAGGCGGCCAUGGAGGUGCUGAAGACGAAGGACCUCGUCUUUGCCAGCCGUCCGAGCGGCCCCACACGUGAGCUCGUAAGCUGCGGCGGCAAAGGACUCGUCCUUACACCCUAUGGCGAGCACUGGCGGCAGAUGCGCAAGGUCUGCAUGGUCGAGGUGCUCAGCACGAGGCAGGUUCGGCGAAUGGACUCCAUCAAGCAAGACGAGAUCGCUGACCUCGUCAAUUCCAUUGUGGCUGCCUCGCCGGCCGCCGUCAUCAACCUCGGCCAGGGGAUGGCCAAGCUUGCCAACAAUAUCAUCGCCAAGGCGGUGUUCGGUGGCAAGUGCCAGCAGCAAGGAACGUACCUCGAUGAGCUCGACAAGAUGUUGGUGCUUGUGGGAGGGUUCUGCCUAGUGGACCUUUUCCCAUCAUCGCGGUUGGUACGGUGGUUCAGCGGCGCAAUGCGCGACCUGAGGAGGAGCCACGGCCGGGUACAGAAACUCCUGGGGGACAUCAUCGUUGAGCGCAAGAAUAUGAAAGAGAAUGCCUCCGCCAGCGCCGGCACUAAAGACAACGAGGACCUGCUAGACGUGCUCCUGAGGCUGCAGAACGAAGACACCCUCAGUUUCCCUCUGACGUCUGAGAUCAUAGGCACGGUCAUCUUUGACAUAUUUGCAGCUGCAACCGAUACUACUGCUGCCACGCUAGAAUGGGCCAUGGCGGAACUCAUCCGCAACCCAAAGGUGAUGGCAAGGGCGAAACUCGAAGUCAGACAGAGUCUCGCACAGGGACAACCCACAGUAACGAGCACGGACCUUGGCAAUCUUCAAUACCUUCGAAUGGUGAUCAAGGAAACACUAAGGCUACACCCACCUGUGCCGCUGAUACGCAGGGCAACCCAAGAUAAGUGCCAGGUCAUGGGUUACCACAUUCCCAAAGGCAUCCAUGUCAUGAUAAACGUGUUCGCAGUGGGAAGGGACCCGAGCCACUGGGGGGAGGACGCGGCGGAGUUCAGGCCCGAGAGGUUCGAGAGGAACGACGCUAUACAUGUGGACUACAGCUCGGGGACACAAAUGGAGUUCGUCCCAUUCGGAUUUGGUCGUAGGCAGUGCCCCGGAGCCCUGUUCGCCACAACGACGAUUGAGCUGGUGCUAGCAAAUCUCUUGUACCGCUUUGACUGGUCGAUUCCGGGUGGGGCAAGCUCGGAGACUCUGGACAUGAACGAGGUGUUUGGCCUCAUUGUGCAUUGCAGGUCCAACUUGUGUGUGCAGGCAGCAACUUGCCAUCCGCAGCUCCACUAG